ensembl:lncRNA novel transcript
ACGUACAGGGAAGGUGAACAGUGAGUCAGCCCUUCCUUCCGCUAAGUCAACAUAGUGGCCUUAUUCCCAUCACUCCAGGCUGGGAAAGGACAAACAUACAAGAAAUGCUUUUAAUCACGGAAUAAGACUAAGCCUCAAGCCCCCUCAUCUGCCAAAGAGUGUGCUCUGCUGUCAAACCUCAAAGUCAUUGAGAAACAAACCCUGAUAAUCUCACCCAGCUUCAAGACCAAGGGAGUCCUAGUGUCAUGGAGAAGAGCAAGGAGGGGCCCAGGGCUGCCGCAGGACAUGCCACUCCAGACAGAACUCAACUUCCCUAGUGACUAUUGGCUAUCCAACCUCUCCUCCAGCACAGCAAGCAGAUGACAAUACUUGCAAGACAUGAUGUGUUAAAUUAAAAAACAUAGUCUAUUUAACAAAUUCUUUUAUAAAUUUUUCUGGAUUCUCUGGCCAAAUUUUUCCUUGUAUAAAACUAAAUCACACAUAGAAAAUG